GGGGGUACGAACACUGCUUUAAACAAUUGCACUAAAAGCAUUACAAAUUGUACUGUACACUUAGCCCAUCUUUUCUUUCCCAUCACACUUGGGCUCAUCUCAUCUCCUUUUGUUUUUAGCUAUUCUCUUAUAUUUAUAUUUCUAGCGCACACCAGGUGUUUGACAAAAUGUUACUAUUAGCCAUAGGCUUCAGAAAGAGGAACUUUCCAGAGAAUUUCAGAGAAGAGAGCUUUUGCAGUUAAGGUGAUUUCAAUUCGGAUCAAGAAGAAUGGCUAAUCCUAUACCACCAACGAUCCAUUAUAGUGCGCAACCAGUAUUCUAUCAUAUCUGAAUUCAUAUGGGGUAUGGUGAUCCCACACUAUUAGAGUUAGCAGUUAAGAUUGAGUCAGAUGCCAGCAUGGGGCUUCUCAAAAACGGAGAUUGUAUGUCUAUAUUCUUUGUCGAUGCAGUGAGCUCUCUUCUUGGAGCUCUACUCUAUCAAGGUGCUUUCGAGUAUAGGAUGUUUUAGGACCGAUAGAAAUAGAAAUGGUCUCACGUGUAAACUUAUAAGUCGUAUCUUAGAGUUCUUUCCUGUAAAUGUAGCCUGUAACUUUUAAGACCCUCAAGUUUCUUUAAUUGGGAGAAUUAGGUGCAAAAAAAAUUGCUACCUAAGUGUAUUGUUGAAAUUUAUGCCAUCAGCUUCUUCAUUGCAAUGUUAUCAUACGACUAAGGAAAGAAAGCAAAGUUACUCUGGAAGCACUCUAUCAUUCAACUCCAGUUCCUGUUAUUUCUUGCAUUAUGAAAUUUG